GACGAACGCUGGCGGCGUGCUUAACACUUGCAAGUCGAACGGUAAGGCCCUUCGGGGUACACGAGUGGCGAACGGGUGAGUAACACGUGGGUGAUCUGCCCUGCACUUCGGGAUAAGCCUGGGAAACUGGGUCUAAUACCGGAUAGGACCACUGCCUGCAUGGGUGGUGGUGGAAAGCUUUUGCGGUGUGGGAUGGGCCCGCGGCCUAUCAGCUUGUUGGUGGGGUGAUGGCCUACCAAGGCGACGACGGGUAGCCGGCCUGAGAGGGUGACCGGCCACACUGGGACUGGGAUACGGCCCAGACUCCUACGGGAGGCAGCAGUGGGGAAUAUUGCACAAUGGGCGCAAGCCUGAUGCGGCGACGCCGCGUGAGGGAUGACGGCCUUCGGGUUGUAAACCUCUUUCAGCACCGACGAAGCGCAAGUGACGGUAGGUGCAGAAGAAGGACCGGCCAACUACGUGCCAGCAGCCGCGGUAA
rnacentral:rRNA from 1 species